rnacentral:rRNA from 1 species
CAGCCGCCGCGGUAAUACGAAGGGGGCUAGCGUUGUUCGGAAUCACUGGGCGUAAAGGGUGCGUAGGCGGAUUCUUAAGCCAGGGGUGAAAUCCCGAGGCUCAACCUCGGAACUGCCUUUGAUACUGGGGAUCUUGAGUCCGGAAGAGGUGAGUGGAACUGCGAGUGUAGAGGUGAAAUUCGUAGAUAUUCGCAAGAACACCAGUGGCGAAGGCGGCUCACUGGUCCGGAACUGACGCUGAGGCACGACAGCGUGGGGAGCAAACAGGAUUAGAUACCCCCGUAGUCCCUGUCUCUUAUAC